rnacentral:rRNA from 1 species
AUACGGAGGGAGCUAGCGUUGUUCGGAAUUACUGGGCGUAAAGCGCACGUAGGCGGCUAUUCAAGUCGGGGGUGAAAGCCCGGGGCUCAGCCCCGGAACUGCCCUCGAAACUAGGUAGCUAGAGUCUUGGAGAGGCGAGUGGAAUUCCGAGUGUAGAGGUGAAAUUCGUAGAUAUUCGGAAGAACACCAGUGGCGAAGGCGACUCGCUGGACAAGUAUUGACGCUGAGGUGCGAAAGCGUGGGGAGC